GAAAUGCGAUAAGUAAUGUGAAUUGCAGAAUUCAGUGAAUCAUCGAAUCUUUGAACGCACAUUGCGCCCGCGAGUAUUCUCGCGGGCAUGCCUGUCCGAGCGUCAUUUCAACCCUCAGGGCCCGCCUGCUUGCAGGCGCGGCGCUGGCGUUGGGGAUCGGCCCUCACCGGUCGUCCCCCAAAUACAGUGGCGGUCUCGCUGCAGCCUCCCCUGCGUAGUAGCAACACUCGCACGCGGAGCGCGGCGCGGCCACGCCGUAAAACCCCCGACUUUCUGAACGUUGACCUCGGAUCAGGUAGGAAUACCCGCUGAACUUAA
rnacentral:misc_RNA from 1 species